rnacentral:rRNA from 1 species
UACGUAGGCAGCGAGCGUUGUUCGGAGUUACUGGGCGUAAAGCGUGCGUAGGCGGUGGUCCAAGUCUGGUGUGAAAUCUCCCGGCUUAACUGGGAGGGUGCGCCGGAAACUGGGCCGCUGGAGUACGGGAGAGGCAAGCGGAAUUCCAGGUGUAGCGGUGAAAUGCGUAGAUAUCUGGAGGAACACCCAUGGUGCAGACGGCUUGCUGGACCGUGACUGACGCUGAGGCACGAAAGCGUGGGUAGCAAACAGG